rnacentral:rRNA from 1 species
UACGGAGGGUGCAAGCGUUAUCCGGAUUCACUAGGUUUAAAGGGUGCGUAGGUGGGUUGGUAAGUCAGUGGUGAGAUCUCCGAGCUUAACUUGGAAACUGCCAUUGAUACUAUCAGUCUUGAAUAUUGUGGAGGUCAGCGGAAUAUGUCAUGUAGCGGUGAAAUGCUUAGAUAUGACAUAGAACACCAAUUGCGAAGGCAGCUGGCUACACAUAUAUUGACACUGAGGCACGAAAGCGUGGGGAUCAAACAGG